rnacentral:sRNA from 1 species
ACUCAAUGUGAUAGCAAGGUGUAGCCAAGGUCAUCCCUUUUCCCUGCACGUAGAUUCAGCCAUGCUUUUCCUACCAGCAUGCAGACACCACAAAAGAAAGAGGAUGAAUUUGUUCUCUUUUGUCUCUGCCUUGUCAGAUUGAGAGACGCCUGGACACAGUACGGUCAAUAUGCCACCAUUCCCAUAAGCGCUUGGUGGCAUGUUUCCAGGGCCAGCAUGGCACCGAUGCCGAGAGGAGACACAAAAAACUGCCUCUGACAGCUCUCGCUCAAAAUAUGCAAGAAGCAUCGACUCAGCUGGAAGACUCUCUCCUGGGGAAGAUGCUGGAGACGUGUGGAGAUGCUGAGAAUCAGCUGGCUCUCGAGCUCUCCCAGCACGAAGUCUUUGUUGAGAAGGAGAUCGUGGACCCUCUGUACGGCAUAGCCGAGGUGGAGAUUCCCAACAUCCAGAAACAGAGGAAGCAGCUUGCAAGAUUGGUGUUAGACUGGGAUUCAGUCAGAGCCAGGUGGAACCAAGCUCACAAAUCCUCA